UACAGAGGGUGCAAACGUUGUCCGGAAUUAUUGGGCGUAAAGAGCUCGUAGGCGGCUUGUCGCGUCGAUUGUGAAAGCCCGGGGCUUAACUCCGGGUCUGCAGUCGAUACGGGCAGGCUAGAGUGUGGUAGGGGAGAUCGGAAUUCCUGGUGUAGCGGUGAAAUGCGCAGAUAUCAGGAGGAACACCGGUGGCGAAGGCGGAUCUCUGGGCCAUUACUGACGCUGAGGAGCGAAAGCGUGGGGAGCGAACAGG
rnacentral:rRNA from 1 species